GACGAACGCUGGCGGCGUGCUUAACACAUGCAAGUCGAACGGAAAGGCCCUGCUUUUGUGGGGUGCUCGAGUGGCGAACGGGUGAGUAACACGUGAGUAACCUGCCCUUGACUUUGGGAUAACUUCAGGAAACUGGGGCUAAUACCGGAUAGGAGCUCCUGCUGCAUGGUGGGGGUUGGAAAGUUUCGGCGGUUGGGGAUGGACUCGCGGCUUAUCAGCUUGUUGGUGGGGUAGUGGCUUACCAAGGCUUUGACGGGUAGCCGGCCUGAGAGGGUGACCGGCAACAUUGGGACUGAGAACGGGCCCAGACUCCUCGGGGAGGCAGCGGGGGGGAAUAUGCACCAAGGGGCGGGGGCUGGAUCCAGCAGCGCCGGGUGCGGAAGGACGGCCUUCGGUUGUAAAACCGCUUCCCCCUGGGACGAAGGGGGAGGGAGGGUAAUGGAAAAAAAAGCACCGGCUAACUAGGGG
rnacentral:rRNA from 1 species